UCUCUCUCUCUCUCUCUCUCUCUCUCUCACACAGAGAAAUAAGAGGAUGAAAUAAAAACAAAAGCUGAAAUCACACAUGAGGAGGAGGACUGCUGAAUCUGGACCGUUCUGACGCGCGCAGGGCGGCGGGAGCGCGCUCUCCCGUGACAGGUGAGUCUACAGGUGUGCAGGUGUGCAGGUGAGAGGAGUUCUUUCGGGACUGUUAAAGACUGAACGCUGCGGGAUGUUCUUGCUGUGAUUCAUGUCUUAUAAAAACUCAUUUCCAGUCGAAAUUUAAAGAAAGAAACGCAUCGCCGAGGAGAUUUCAGAGGGAUUCCGACACAAGAACGAGCACCUCUCUCUCUCUCUCUCUCUCUCUCUCUCUCUCUCUCUCUCUCUCUCUCUCUCUCUCUCUCUCUCUCUCUCUCUGUUUCCCGCGCUAAGCUGAAGUCUUCCGAUGUCGACCGUGUUUCAUGAGAAUAGAGUUAGUGUUGGUGAGGAAGAUGAUGAAGACAUCAGUGUGAUCGAUGCUUCUGUUCAGCAUCACUGCUUCUAUCCUCUAUAAUCAAUCAGACAGAAGAGCUGCGGGUUCAUGAGGAGACAGACGCCCCCUCUCUGCGCGCGCGCCCGUUACACCUCACACACACAUUUGACACCACAGCAUUGUCAAUGCCAAUGGUGCAUUAUAACAAUUGCAACUUAAAUAAAAUGGUAAAUUAUAAAUUCCCUAUGCAAGCAAAUCCCUGUAGAAACGGAUGACAAUGACAUAAUAAAUGUGAAGAUCUGGUUGUGUCUCAAAUGUCUAAAUGAAUUGCAUGUGCAUCUUUUUUUUUAUAAAAUCAACUGAUGUAAAUGUAAGUGUGAUAUAAAAAUGGUUUUCAGUGUAAAAAGGCAUAUUUAACUCAUUUUUGUCUUCCUUUAGUAAAGUGUAAUUUCCCCUUAUGAUCUACGGGUCCCCGUCGCGCGUGCACGUUAAUAUACACGCGCAUACAGUACAGUAGUAUAGGGUUACAGGCAUGUAUUUCAUUAGCAUAAUUAUCACAUCUUCAUGUGUGUGUGUGUGUGUGUGUGUGUGUGUGUGCAUUACCAGUCAAAAGCCCGUCCGACCGUUCACAGAUACAGCUCGUGCAAUACAGCGGGCAUACAUGCGCGAGCCAUUUCUCAUCUGUACUUAUUAAUUAUGCAUUUACCCAACAAACCUGUUCCAAUCACACACGCAUUUUAAUGUGAAUGACAGGUGUACAUGAGCGCAUCACACACACGAAAAAGAAAAACACGGCAGACUGAUGGACAGUUAUAGAGCAGAGUAAGUGGAGAGAGUGAUCUCAAACUCUCUAAAAAUGAGUUCUUACUGUAGCCGCAGGCUUUGGUCUACUGUGUGUAACACACACACACACACACACGGUUACUGCUGCGAAUGCCGCAUGCAUCAGAUAGCCAUUGAUUUCCACAUGAAGCACUUCAGGAUGAGGACAGCAAUGAUCUGAUUAUUAGCGGACUCUCUUCAUCAGACAUGAGAUGAUUCUCCUGAUUCUGAUUCACUGAUUCUCCUGAUUCCGAUUCGCUGAUUCUCCUGAUUCUGAUUCGCUGAUUCUGGUGUCUCUGUAAAGAGGUCAGGUCUCCAGGCGCGUUUAUAACAGUUCCGAUGCUUUCUGAAGCACAGAGGAAAAUGGAAAACAUUCACAAUUAAUACUGACGUUCACACACACACACACACACACACACACACACACACACACACAGAGAGAGAGAGAGAGAGAGAGGGAGGGAGAGAGAGGCAAAGGUCCGUUAAAAUAGGAAGCUCUGCCUACAGAAACAUGGCUUAUUGUUCCUGUGGAAUUAAUAAUUGACGGUUGUUAAAUGAAUAAUUUAUCAUGAACUGGAAUAAUUGUUGUAUCUCUAAUCUCGACGCACAUUUGCAUAUGAAUCUUGUAAAGAUCUGCUGCUAUGUGCUGUAUAAACUUCGCACGAGUGUGAAAUUUAAUUUCUCCUAUGAAAUAAAACCUUUCUCCUGGCAGGGGUUGGCCCUCUUGUGGAAGUUAUGACACACGCUGUGUGUGUGUGUGUGUGUGUGUGUGUGUGUGAGAGAGAGAGAGAGAUUUCACAAAUUCAUGUUUCAUAAUCUGCAGGAUGAACACUAUAUGGUUUUAUAUUAAAUUAGACAAAUCAUUCUAUAUCAAAUGUCAUAUGACAAUAAAUAAACAACAUACAGACAUAAAACAGAUGCUAAUUUGUCAGAAAUUAUAAAGCAUGUAUAAUAUGACAAGAUUACAUCAUAUAUCAAGAACUACAAUAUAAAACCUGACACUGGCACGAUGUCACUUCAUAUAUUUGCAUAAAUAUUAAAUACAUUUUAAUUUAAAUAGACUCUUGUGUUCUUGAUAUUAUAUAUGUUAAAUAUCCUUAAUAUUAAUAUUUUUAAUGGUUUUAAAAAUAAUAAAAUGCUUGAAGAAGGUUUAGUGUCACUAAGGUUCUGGAGAACUGUCUUAAACGAUUGCACAAGACUUGCAUGUUUAAUGGGUUAUUU